GAUGAACGCUGGCGGCGUGCUUAACACAUGCAAGUCGAACGGAAAGGCUCCUGCUUGCAGGGGUACUCGAGUGGCGAACGGGUGAGUAACACGUGGGUGAUCUGCCCUGCACUUCGGGAUAAGCCUGGGAAACUGGGUCUAAUACCGGAUAGGACGAUGGUUUGGAUGCCAUUGUGGAAAGUUUUUUCGUUGUGGGAUGAGCUCGCGGCCUAUCAGCUUGUUGGUGGGGUAAUGGCCUACCAAGGCGUCGACGGGUAGCCGGCCUGGGAGGGUGUACGGCCACAUUGGGACUGAGAUACGGACCAGACUCCUACGGGAGGCAGCAGUGGGGAAUAUUGCACAAUGGGCGCAAGCCUGAUGCAGCGACGCCGCGUGGGGGAUGACGGCCUUCGGGUUGUAAACUCCUUUCGCUAGGGACGAAGCGCAAGUGACGGUACCUGGAGAAGAAGCACCGGCUAACUACGUG
rnacentral:rRNA from 1 species